rnacentral:RNase_P_RNA from 1 species
UCAGUUAAACAUGUGGUCGCAGUUUGCUGAUAAAAAGCAAAGUGAGGAAAGUCCGAGCAUCAUAAGACAGGGUGCCAGUUAACGGCUGGUGAAGGUGACUUUAAGGAUAGUGCAACAGAAAUAAACCGCCCGCAAGGGUAAGGAUGGAAAGGCGAGGUAAGAGCUCACCGGGGCUGUGGUAACAUGGCUUGCUCUGUAAACCCCACCCGAUGCAAGGCCAAGCAAAGACAGUUAUCGCGUCUUACGUGUCUUUCAAAAGCGCCGCUUGAACCUUUUGGCGACAAAAGGUCUAGAUAGAUGACCACAAAAUACAGAACUCGGCUUAUAGUUUAGCUGACAAA